rnacentral:rRNA from 1 species
GAUUUCUGGCUUGAAACAUUUUGCCGGCCACGGUUUCGUGUGUUAGUGCUUGAUGUUCUGGCCAUCCUUCCAAUCGCUAUUCACGUUUCUUCAUUGAUUCGUGAGUGGUAUUGGAUCUUUUACUUUGAAAAAAUUAGAGUGUUUCAAGCAGGCAUUUUUGCUAUGAAUACAUUAGCAUGGAAUAAUAAUCUAGGACUUUCGGUUCUAUUUUGUUGGUGUUCUGGAGCUGAAGUAAUGAUUGAUAGGGAUAGUUGGGGGUGCUAGUAUUCAGCGGCCAGAGGUGAAAUUCUCGGAUUCGCUGAAGACUAACUUAUGCGAAAGCAUU